GAUGUUGGGUUAAGUCCCGCAACGAGCGCAAUCCCUAUUCUUAGUUGCCAUCAGGUUAUGCUGGGGACUCUAACAGGACUGCCUACGCAAGUAGAGAGGAAGGCGGGGACGACGUCAAGUCAUCACGGCCCUUACGUCCUGGGCUACACACGUGCUACAAUGGUGCAUACAGAGGGUUGCGAGCUAGUAAUAGUAAGCCAAUCUCAAAAAGUGCAUCUCAGUUCGGAUUGAGGUCUGCAACUCGACCUCAUGAAGUUGGAAUCGCUAGUAAUCGCGUAUCAGCAAUGACGCGGUGAAUACGUUCCCGGGCCUUGUACACACCGCCCGUCAAGCCAUGGAAGCCGG
rnacentral:rRNA from 1 species